rnacentral:tRNA from 1 species
GCACUGGUGGCUCAGGGGUAGAGUUCUUACCUUCCAUGCAACAGACCCUGGUUCGAUUCCUGGCCAAUGCA